AUCAAAGCUGUCUAGGGUUCCGUUGCUGGCAGGCUGUAUCACCGCCGGUAAGUCUGGUCCGAGAGAGAGCGUAUAGAAGCUGCGUUUGAUUGCAACUUCUAUAUACACGGAAGGAUAAAAGCCUGGGAGAU
rnacentral:sRNA from 1 species